rnacentral:rRNA from 1 species
UACAGAGGUCUCAAGCGUUGUUCGGAUUCAUUGGGCGUAAAGGGUGUGUAGGUGGGCGCGCUAAGUCGGGUGUGAAAUUUCGGAGCUUAACUCCGAAACUGCAUUCGAUACUGGCGUGCUUGAGGACUGGAGAGGAGACUGGAAUUUACGGUGUAGCAGUGAAAUGCGUAGAUAUCGUAAGGAAGACCAGUGGCGAAGGCGGUCUCUGGACAGUUCCUGACACUGAGACACGAAGGCCAGGGAGGCAAACGGG